GCCGCCCUAGCUCAGUUGGUAGAGCGACGCUCUCGUAAAGCGUAGGUCACGGGUUCGAAUCCCGUGGGCGGCU
rnacentral:tRNA from 1 species